UACGUAGGGGGCAAGCGUUGUCCGGAUUUAUUGGGCGUAAAGAGCGUGUAGGCGGUCAGGUAGGUCGGUUGUGAAAACUGGAGGCUCAACCUUCAGAGGUCGACCGAAACCCCCUGGCUGGAGUCCGGGAGAGGAGAGUGGAAUUCCUGGUGUAGCGGUGAAAUGCGCAGAUAUCAGGAAGAACACCCGUGGCGAAAGCGGCUCUCUGGAACGGUACUGACGCUGAGACGCGAAAGCGUGGGGAGCGAACAGG
rnacentral:rRNA from 1 species